AAGAGACGCGAGGAAAGUCCGGACACGGUAGGACACGGUGGUGGAUAACGUCCACCAACCUUUGAUUGCAGGUUAGGGCACAGUGCCACAGAGAGUUAGACCGCCGAUGGUUACGUUCGCGUAACACAGGUAAGGGUGAAAAGGUGCGGUAAGAGCGCACCGCAUGCUUGGUGACAAGCAUGGCUUGGGUAAACCCCACCGCGUGCAAGCGCAAGCAGUUCUCGGUUUGUUUCGGCAAACGUCCUUGUCCGAGGAAUGAGAACGGGUCGCGUGCAAAAGUUUGCUGGCAACAGUAGACGUAGAUGAAUGGUCGUUCACGACAGAAUCCGGCUUAUCGUCCACAGGCAAUC
rnacentral:RNase_P_RNA from 1 species